AAUUUGUUGAAGAGCGAGAAAUGUUGGAUUUGGAUGGAGCCAAUUUGAGCCUCAAAACACGUGGUUCGACGAGGCAGACCGGCUCUAGGCAUGAUUGGAGGCCUGGACAAUAACUUGAGGAGGACAUUUUUCACAAUUGAAAUGUGGAAGGUCGGAAACAGAGGGAAUCAACGAGCCUAAACAGGGGAGGAACAGGGGAGGCUUCUUUUUUAUUGAAAUUGCAGGAGUUUGGAGGUUAUGGGAUCAAGGCAGUGAGAUUCAGAUGAAAGAGAUGUUUUCAGACAGAACCUGUAGUUCGGUUUUGGUAGGAUUGCAGUCUAUCUUAGGGACUUGUGCAGCAAGAGAGAAAGAAG
rnacentral:lncRNA from 1 species